UGGGGGAUAUUGCACAAUGGAGGAAACUCUGAUGCAGCGACGCCGCGUGAGGGAAGAAGGUUUUCGGAUUGUAAACCUCUGUCUUUGGGGACGAUAAUGACGGUACCCAAGGAGGAAGCUCCGGCUAACUACGUGCCAGCAGCCGCGGUAAUACGUAGGGAGCAAGCGUUGUCCGGAAUUACUGGGUGUAAAGGGAGCGUAGGCGGGACUGUAAGUUGAAUGUGAAAUCUAUGGGCUCAACCCAUAAACUGCGUUCAAAACUGCGGUUCUUGAGUGAAGUAGAGGCAAGUGGAAUUCCUAGUGUAGCGGUGGAAUGCGUAGAUAUUAGGAGGAACACCAGUGGCGAAGGCGACUUGCUGGGCUUUAACUGACGCUGAGGCUCGAAAGCGUGGGUAGCAAACA
rnacentral:rRNA from 1 species